GGGGGGACAAGUGUUAUUCGAAAUGACUGGGCGUAAAGGGUCCGUAGGUUGUUGAUUAAGCUGAAAGGUACAAACUAGGGCUUAACCUUAGGGAACUUUUCAGAACUGAUCAACUUGAGUUUGGGAGAGGAUAGUAGAAUUUCAGAGUAGGGCUAAAAUCCAAAGAUACUGAAAGGAAUACCAGGAGCGAAGGCGACUAUCUGGAACAAUACUGACACUGAGGGACGAAAGCAUGGGUAGCAAACAGGAUUAGAUACCCUGGUAGUCCAUAGCUGUAAACGAUGAGUGCUUGGUGUCGGGGGAUUCGACCCCUUCGGUACCGGAGCUAACGCAUUAAGUACUCCGCCUGGGAACUACGACCGCAAGGUUGAAACUCAAAGGAAUUGACGGGGACCCGCACAAGCAGUGGAGCAUGUGGUUUAAUUCGAAGAUACGCGCAGAACCUUACCAACACUUGACAUGUUCGUCGCGAGACUAAGAGAUUAGUCUUUUCAGUUAGGCUGGACGAAACACAGGUGCUGCAUGGCU
rnacentral:rRNA from 1 species